rnacentral:rRNA from 1 species
GACGGAGGAUGCAAGCGUUAUCCGGAAUGAUUGGGCGUAAAGCGUCCGCAGGUGGCAGUUCAAGUCUGCUGUCAAAGACCGGGGCUUAACUUCGGAAAGGCAGUGGAAACUGAACAGCUAGAGUAUGGUAGGGGCAGAGGGAAUUCCUGGUGUAGCGGUGAAAUGCGCAGAUAUCAGGAGGAACACCAAUGGCGAAGGCAGCUCGCUGGAACGGUACUGACGCUGAGGCGCGAAAGCGUGGGGAGCGAACAGG